GACGUAGGGCCCGAGCGUUGUCCGGAUUUACUGGGCGUAAAGAGCGCGUAGGCGGCCCGUUAAGUGUGGAGUGAAAGCUCCGGGCUCAACCCGGAAACCGCUCCGCAUACUGGCGGGCUCGAGGACGGAAGAGGCUGGUGGAAUUCCCGGUGUAGCGGUGAAAUGCGUAGAUAUCGUGAGGAACACCCAUGGCGAAGGCAGCCAGCUGGUCCGUUUCUGACGCUGAGGCGCGAAAGCGUGGGUAGCAAACAGG
rnacentral:rRNA from 1 species